CGGGGCGUAGUUCAGCCUGGUAGAAUGCUUGCAUGGGGUGCAAGAGGCCGAAGGUUCAAAUCCUUUCGCCCCGACCA
rnacentral:tRNA from 1 species